UACGAAGGGGGCUAGCGUUGCUCGGAAUCACUGGGCGUAAAGGGCGCGUAGGCGGCCUAUUAAGUCGGACGUGAAAUCCCUCGGCUCAACCGGGGAACUGCGUCCGAUACUGGCAGGCUUGAAUCCGGGAGAGGGAUGUGGAAUUCCAGGUGUAGCGGUGAAAUGCGUAGAUAUCUGGAGGAACACCGGUGGCGAAGGCGGCAUCCUGGACCGGUAUUGACGCUGAGGCGCGAAAGCUAGGGGAGCAAACGGG
rnacentral:rRNA from 1 species